rnacentral:tRNA from 1 species
GACGAUAGCUCAGCUGGUAGAGCACCUGUUUGGUAUGCGGAGGGUCGCCGGUUCGAUUCCGGCUCGCG